GACAGCAGCUACCUGCCUGUGCUUCGGUGACAAAGCUCUUCUGAGGUUUGGGCGAACAAAGUGCUUGGUUCUUUUACUUUACAGAAACAUGACGGCACUGAGCCUGGACUGGUGGAGGCUAAACUGGGAGAGAGAUGCAGCUGCUGGAAGAACUGGUUCCCAAGGAAGAGGGAAGAAGAGACGUGGAAUAAAUGCCCCCAUAAUGCUCCUUCAUCCUCUGACAUCCUGGAUCUACCAGCAUGAGCUUGCAAGGCGGCCAGGCCAGCGGUCUCUAAGGCUCCCGGGCAUGGAGCAGGGACAGAGAAAAGUGGAUCACGCCUGAAAGAGACACCAACUGAGUAGCCAGCACGCCGAGAGUGAAACCAGAAGGCUGGCUGGAGCACACCGACCAACUGCGCAUGCCCAGAGUGAGACGGACUCUACAGCUGAGCAGUCCUCUCCUCUGCCAAAGCACACAGCAGGGUGUUUUGCAGCUUAUGCUGAUGAUAAAAAUGGGAAAAUGGGUUCUUUCUAUCCAUGUGGUACCAUGCAUGGUGAUAAGAUAUUUUCUUGUUAUAUGUAAAAAUGAAAUUCAUUUGGUUCCAAUACAGGAAAUCUGUGAAGUCUAAACUACCUAAGUGACUUUGACAACAUCACAAUAUACAGUGGCCUCUCUUGAGCCAUGCUACCAUUCUCUGGGGCUUUAGUUAUUCAUGAUUACCAAAGUCUGAAAAUAUUAAAUGGAAAAUCAUAGAAAUAGGCAACACAUUUUAGAAAUAAGUACACAUUUUAAUUUAUAGUUGCUUACUAUUUUAGAGACAUCUGAUGAAAUCUUGUGCUGG